GGAAGGGUAUAGUUCAGUUGGUAGAGUGCUUGCUUUGCAUGCAUGAGGUCCUGGGUUCAAUCCCCAGUACUUCCA